rnacentral:rRNA from 1 species
UGCGCAGGCGGUUUUGUAAGACAGAGGUGAAAUCCCCGGGCUCAACCUGGGAACUGCCUUUGUGACUGCAAGGCUAGAGUGCGGCAGAGGGGGAUGGAAUUCCGCGUGUAGCAGUGAAAUGCGUAGAUAUGCGGAGGAACACCGAUGGCGAAGGCAAUCCCCUGGGCCUGUACUGACGCUCAUGCACGAAAGCUGGGAGCAAACA